AGGUGUGCCUAAAAGUAGUGUUGAAUCAAUCAUAUGAUCUUGUCAAGAUCAAGUUACAUACGUGUCUGCUUUUUUUAUAAAAGUUAUAAACUAGUUUUCUUAAACCUAAUUCAGUUGAGUAUUAAGAUAGAAAAACUACAAUAAUAAAAAACCGAGAGGGUCAAUAUAAAUAAAAAAAUAGCUAAGGUUAACUCUUUUACCUCGUGUAUCAUGGGUCACUAAAUAAGGUUUAAAUUAUUUCUACCCGAAAGUUAGUGAGCUUUUUUUUAGUUGUUAAGAACUUAAACUUUACUGUGUCAUAAGUAUUAUAAAACUCAAAUAAAGAGGUUAUAUGCCUGUCGCACUAACAGAUAGCUGGUUGUAAAUAAAAUAUAUAUAAGUAUAGAUUCAUUAUGAAUUUUACUAUUUUUGGGUUAAGCUAAAAAUAGAAGUUAAUAGGCACAUCUAAAUUUAUUUUUUUUUUUUAGGCUUACAAAUAGCCUUACAAGUAACUGUUACAAGGCAAAACAAAAAAAAAUUUAAUUAUAUAAAUGCCAUUAAGAUUAAUUUGCAAUUAAGAGUAAUUAUUUCUAAAGAUAAAAUGGUGAUAUGAGUAUUAGAUAUCAUAUUUUAUAUUACUACAAAAAAAAUUGUAAAAGGAACUCGGCAAAAAGAGCAACGACUGUUUAACAAAAACAUAGCUUCUYGAAAUUAUUUGAAGUARAGUCUGCCCAGUGACUGAGAAGUUAAACGGCGCGUGGCCUAAGGUAGCAUAAUAAUUUGUCUUUUCAUUGGAGGAUAGUAUGAAUGGACGAACGAAGCUCAGCUGUCUCUUACAAUCACAUAAAAAUUGAUUUUUAGGUGAAAAAUCCUAAAUAAAUAAGAAGGACGGAAAGACCCUGUAGAGUUUUAACUAAUUAUUCAUCAUUUUGUUGAUUAUAGUUUUUAUUGGGGCAAUAUUAGAAAAAAAAAAAAUCUAAUUAUUUUUUAUUGUUAUAACAAUUGUUUAACCCUCUAAGAGAAAAAAGAAAAACUACCUCAGGGAUAACAGCGUUAUCCUACCAGAGAGAUCUAAUCGAAGGUAGAGAUYGCGACCUCGAUGUUGGA
rnacentral:rRNA from 1 species